rnacentral:rRNA from 1 species
AAAAGAAACCAACAGGGAUUACCUCAGUAACGGCGAGUGAAGCGGUAACAGCUCAAAUUUGAAAUCUGGCUCUUUCAGGGUCCGAGUUGUAAUUUGUAGAAGAUGCUUUGGGUGUGGCUCCGGUCUAAGUUCCUUGGAACAGGACGUCAUAGAGGGUGAGAAUCCCGUAUGUGACUGGGUGCUUUCGCUCGUGUAAAGCUCUUUCGACGAGUCGAGUUGUUUGGGAAUGCAGCUCAAAAUGGGUGGUAAAUUUCAUCUAAAGCUAAAUAUUGGCCAGAGACCGAUAGCGCACAAGUAGAGUGAUCGAAAGAUGAAAAGCACUUUGGAAAGAGAGUUAAACAGUACGUGAAAUUGUUGAAAGGGAAGCGCUUGCAAUCAGACUCGCAUGCCGCUGAUCAUCCGGGGUUCUCCCCGGUGCACUCGGCGGUCUACGGGCCAGCAUCGGUUUGGGUGGUGGGAUAAAGGCCUUGGGAAUGUAGCUCCUCUCGGGGAGUGUUAUAGCCCUCGGCGCAAUGCCGCCUACCCGGACCGAGGACCGCGCUUCGGCUAGGAUGCUGGCGUAAUGGUUGUAAGCGACCC